rnacentral:rRNA from 1 species
CCUACGGGUGGCAGCAGUGGGGAAUAUUGCACAAUGGGGGAAACCCUGAUGCAGCGACGCCGCGUGAGCGAUGAAGUAUUUCGGUAUGUAAAGCUCUAUCAGCAGGGAAGAAAAUGACGGUACCUGACUAAGAAGCCCCGGCUAACUACGUGCCAGCAGCCGCGGUAAUACGGAGGGGGCAAGCGUUAUCCGGAUUUACUGGGUGUAAAGGGAGGGUAGACGGCGGUGUAAGCCAGAUGUGAAAGCCCGGAGCUCAACCCCGGGACUGCAUUUGAAACUGUGCUGCGUGAGGGUCGGAGAGGCAGGCGGAAUUCCUAGGGUAGCGGUGGAAUGCGUAGAUAUUAGGAGGAACACCAGUGGCGAAGGCGAUUUGCUGGACUGUAACUGACACUGAGGCACGAAAGCGUGGGGAGCAAACAGGAUUAGAUACCCCAGUAGUC